AGAUGGCGACCGGCGCACGGGUGAGUAACACGUAUCCAACCUGCCGAUAACUCGGGGAUAGCCUUUCGAAAGAAAGAUUAAUACCCGAUGGCAUAAUUAGACCGCAUGGUCUUAUUAUUAAAGAAUUUCGGUUAUCGAUGGGGAUGCGUUCCAUUAGGCAGUUGGUGAGGUAACGGCCCACCUAGUCAACGAUGGAUAGGGGUUCUGAGAGGAAGGUCCCCCACAUUGGAACUGAGACACGGUCCAA
rnacentral:rRNA from 1 species